GAGUUUGAUCGUGGCUCAGAACGAACGCUGGCGGCAGGCCUAACACAUGCAAGUCGAACGAGAAUGCAGGCUUCGGUCUGCUAGUAAAGUGGCGCACGGGUGAGUAACACGUGGGUAACGUACAUCGUAGUGGGGGAUAACCAGGUGAAAGCUUGGCUAAUACCGCAUGAGUCUGUCGGGACGCGAGUCCUGACAGGGAAAGUGGAGCAAUCCACGCUACGAGAUCGGCCCGCGGCCCAUUAGCUAGUUGGCGGGGUAACGGCCCACCAAGGCGACGAUGGGUAGCUGGUCUGAGAGGAUGAUCAGCCACACUGGAACUGAGACACGGACCAGACUCCUACGGGAGGCAGCAGUGAGGAAUAUUGGUCAAUGGGCGCAAGCCUGAACCAGCCAUGCCGCGUGCAGGAUGACGGUCCUAUGGAUUGUAAACUGCUUUUAUACGGGAAGAAACACUCCUACGUGUAGGAACUUGACGGUACCGUAAGAAUAAGGAUCGGCUAACUCCGUGCCA
rnacentral:rRNA from 1 species